AGGGGCUGCCCAGGCCCCGCUCCUGGAGCCCUUCAACUCUGUGCCAUAAUUCCCGGCACCCAUGACCCCCAGGUCCCAAGACCAGGCAGUGCCCAUCUUCCUCCCCGCUUUAACUCGGAUUCCGGCAGCCAACGGAGAAAAGUCUGCCUGAGCAGCGGCUGAAUCCCCAACUCUGCCACUUUGCCGGCGCUUGUCUUACCGAAGGAGUCGUCUUGGUCCAGGAGGGAGUCGGGCUCCAUGGCGUGUGCGCCCCCAGCCCCUGGCCCCGCCUGAUUUAUGAACCGAGGCUGUCUCCAUGAGCGUCUGGGUUUCUCCUUUUGUAUUCCAUCUGGCGGCUUUUCCAACUAGAUGACUGGGUAUUCCUGCAAGCAGGCCCCUUUCCAGCCCUCGCCUUCAUACAGUACAUUUAAAGUAGCAGUAACCUCUUUUUCCUCCCCCCGCAGCCUGGCUGGAAACAUUAGAAGGGACCGAGGCAGCGAGAUGUCUAAAAUAGGAAGACGCCGGGACGAUUGGCCUGGCUGCCUGCGACGCUGGCUGUGGGGAUCUGGCCCCGCUGUGCAGAUGGAAAAGCUAAGAGACAUUUCCUGCGGUGUGGGGGAUGCAGAAAUUGACUCAUCCAUCCAUUCAGUCAGACACUAAACAUUUUUCUGGAACAUCUACUCGGCGCCAGACACCGUGCCAGGUGCUGGGUUUGCAGUGGGGAGCGAGUGGCGGUGUCUGGUCUCUUGGAGCUCACAGGUAAACAGCAGGAGAAAACUUUCUGCUCCUCACGAAAUCACUGGAACAUUAGAAGCUGAGCCUCCGUGACCAGAUUUCUGAAGACAUGGAUCUGCAGCUGAGGCAGAGGGGACAUCAAGAGGACAGAGAUGGGGGAAUUCCCUGGUGGUCCAGUGGUUAGGAUUACGCGGUUCCACUGUAAGGGGCACAGGUUCGAUAACCAGUUGGGGAAACUAAGAUGCUGCAUACCUUGGGGUGCAGCCCAAAAAAAAAAAUCGAGUAUCUCUCAAUAAAAAAAUUUUUUAAAAAUGAGGAGGGGACUUCCCUGGUGGCACAGUGGUUAAGAAUCCGCCUGCCAAUGCAGGGGACACAGGUUCGAGCCCUGGUCCGGGAAGAUCCCACAUGCUGCGGAGCAACUAAGCCCGUGCACCACAACUACUAAGCCUGCGUUCUAGAGCCCGCAAGCCACAACUACUGAGCCCAUGUGCCACAACUACCGAAGCCCGCACGCCUAGAGCCCAUGCACCGCAACAAAGAAAAGCCACCGCAGUGAGAAGCCCGCGCACCGCAACGAAAGAGUAGCCCCCGCUCGCCGCAACUAGAGAAAGGCUGUGCACAGCAACGAAGACCCAACACGGCCAAAAAUAAAUUAAAAAAAAAAAAAAUGAGGAGGGAGAUGGGAGACAGACAGAUAAGCCAGGAGGCUGGCAGGAGGGCCCAGGCCAGGGGUGGCAGGGAGGGAAAUACCCACCUGGCCCCCUUCCCAGCGACCCACUGCUGCCCAGCUGCUCCCAGAGCAGCCAGUGGCUGCUGACGUGGUUGGCCCAGCCUGACAGAGUGGGCCCUCCUCUGUCACCCUUCACCACCCGUCCUUGGAUGACAGAUCCCAGCUCCCAGCCUCCCGCUGCCUUAACUACAGGGAGGUCAGGCCCUACCCAGGCAGCUGCAGGCACGAGGCUCCCUGGAUCUCUGAUUCGGUGGGUGUGGAGGGCAGGCUGCAGCGGGGCGGGGGGCAUCUAGGAGUGGUGGAUCGGGCCCCUGGACCACCAGUCAACAGGUGAGGUCAGGCCCAGUUACACCACCACCACUUCCCCAGCUCUCUGGGACCCCAGGGGUUCUGGGAGUUCCAGGAUUCCAGGAGCUAUGGGGGCCCAUUUGCACACAGGCACUGUGGUCCUUUUCUAGUUAUAGUGUGACGGGGCUCCUCUCCAGAACACAGGCCAACGUGGGCUUGCGUCCACUUUGGAGCAUCCUGGCUGCUUUCUCAGGUGAGGACAGACAAGCCUGCCUGGGUCCAAAUCCCAGCUCCCCAUUUACCAGCUGGGUGACCCUUGGCAAGUGACUUUACUUCUCAGUGCCCCAGUUUCCUCAUCUGUAAUCAGAAGGAGAGUCCCUGGAGGGCUGCUGGGAGAAUUAGUGAGCUAAUAUGGGUAGAGCUUAGAACAGGGCCAGAGGAAGCGCGCCGUAAAGCUAAAAUCGAGAGCCCUCAGCCCUCAGCACAGCCUUCCAGGCCCUCCUGCGUGGUCUGGGCCCCCUCAUCUCAUCUCCCUCCCCCCCACCCCCAGACCUAUUGGCCUUUUCUUUGAACUGCCUCUCAGACUCUUACCCCAAGGCCUGGCCAUUUCCUCUGCUUGGAGUGAGAGUCCCCCAAAUCUUCACCCACUUCUGUGUUCAGGUCUCCGACCACCUCUCUGAGAUAUCAUGCCCCCUGCCGCUCCCCUCACCCCACCCCUGGCUUUAGUUUUCUUCCCGGCCCUUUGGACAGCUAUCACCUGACAUGAUAUUAUAUAUUUAUUUGCCUGUUAUCUGCCAGCCCCUGCUUUCACGCAAGCUCAGCGCUGUACCCCCAGCACUCGUCAGAACGGUCCCCAACGGGUCCAACUGAAGCGGACCCCCAAUAAACGCAUGUGGAAUGAAACCCCCAAUAAACGC